UACGUAGGGGGCUAGCGUUGUUCGGAAUUACUGGGCGUAAAGGGCGCGUAGGCGGCAAUUCAAGUCAGCUGUGAAAUCUCUGGGCUUAACCCAGAACGGCCAGCUGAUACUGCUUUGCUAGAGUGCAGAAGGGGCAAUCGGAAUUCUUGGUGUAGCGGUGAAAUGCGUAGAUAUCAAGAGGAACACCUGAGGUGAAGACGGGUUGCUGGGCUGACACUGACGCUGAGGCGCGAAAGCCAGGGGAGCAAACGGG
rnacentral:rRNA from 1 species